rnacentral:rRNA from 1 species
CCUACGGGUGGCAGCAGUGAGGAAUAUUGGUCAAUGGACGAGAGUCUGAACCAGCCAAGUAGCGUGAAGGAUGACUGCCCUAUGGGUUGUAAACUUCUUUUAUAUGGGAAUAAAAUGUUCCACGUGUGGGAUUUUGUAUGUACCAUAUGAAUAAGGAUCGGCUAACUCCGUGCCAGCAGCCGCGGUAAUACGGAGGAUCCGAGCGUUAUCCGGAUUUAUUGGGUUUAAAGGGAGCGUAGGUGGGUUGUUAAGUCAGUUGUGAAAGUUUGCGGCUCAACCGUAAAAUUGCAGUUGAAACUGGCAGUCUUGAGUACAGUAGAGGUGGGCGGAAUUCCGGGUGUAGCGGUGAAAUGCGUAGAUAUUCGGAGGAACACCGGUGGCGAAGGCGGCCAACUGGGCUUUAACUGACGCUGAGGCUCGAAAGUGUGGGGAGCAAACAGGAUUAGAUACCCCAGUAGUC